AUGGUAAAUGAGAGCCAGGCGGGUAUGGUAGAAGCUCCCUCCAGGAGGCUCUAGACGACUUGCCUGCUGGUAGCACCCUGCAGCCGACUGGAAGUCACCCAGACACAGGUAGGCCUCACCCUGGCUCCCAUACAGCUGGGCCUAAAACAUUAUAUCAAACAAUAUAACACGAUAAAACACAACAAAACACAUACCAAGAUGUAUGAUAUAGUGUGUAUGGGAGCCAGGGAGAGGGCUACCUGUUGAGUUAUAUUGUAUUUUUGUUAUAUUAUCGCACAACACAACACAAUAUAAUUAAGCAAUAUCACACAAAAGGGAUUACUGUUGUACUGAAUAUCAGCACAUGUUGUGGUGUCAGCAGUCUGCUGUGUUUUCCUCCGCCUGGUCUGCCACUCCUCCUGUCUGUCUCACCUCACACCUGGCCCUCAUCUACAAUCAUGCUCACCUGGUCUUCAUCCCCAAUCAACCCCCUUCAUAAACCCUUGGAUUCCCUGCUGUCGGCGCCAGAUCGUACUACGCACUACCGUGUUACCCGGAUCACUCACUCCAGCUCGCCCACCUCGCUCUUCCCCCGGCUCCCUCAUCCACUACCUGCUUCCCACUUCAGUAAACCCCUUUUUAUCCCUUCAACAUCGUCUCUCUCUGCUCUUGGGUUCAGCAUCGUCUAUAAUAACAGCGCGGCUGUGAUUCGGUCGAGGCCAUUAGCUACGAGGCCAUAGGCCGGGUGCCGAAGAUAAUCACAGCCGUGCUGAUAUUCAGUAGGCCUACAACAGCAUGAACUCGAGGGUGAUGUUGGGUUGCUAAUAAAUGGUGCUUGUAGAUCUGUUGUAUAAAAGCAAUAUCCAACCUGGUCUCACAGGAAUCCGUGAAAUGACUACGGUCGGACGCUUAACUCGAAAUCCGUGGCCACAUCACGGAAACACGCCGAUAUCCGUGUGUGAGCCACGGAAUAACAGUGUCAUUUACUUGCAUUGGAGCAAAUUCCGUGGCCACAUCACGGACAAUUGAAGUGAUUCCGUCAGACCACCACGGAUUUUGAGUUAAGCCCCCGCUGUGGUCACAUGUGGCACACACAGAUUGAAACGGGAGCACACACACAGAUUGAAACGGGAAUCUGUUUGUGUGCCACGGAAUAUCAUUGUGAUUUACUUGCAUUAUUCCUCAUUUUCUGACAUUAUUCCCUAGCAACUUCCGUGGACACAAGGACAAUUUGUGUGUUUCAGUGAGACCACCCCGGGUUUUGAGUUAAGACCCCGUGGUCGACUCGCUCGUUGAAACGGGGAUCUGUGUGUGAGCCACGGAACAUCAGCGUCAUUAACUUGCAUUGGAGCGAAUUCCGUGGCCACAUCACGGAAAUCGGCGUGUUUCCGUGAUGUGUCCACGGAUUUCGAGUUAUUCGUCCGUAGUCAUUUCACGGAUUCCUGUGAGACCAGGUUGUUUAUUAGACAACAGUAAUAAGCAACACCGGGAUUAUGAUAUGUCUGUUCAUUUAAUGAUUUAUUUGGCUCCACCCAACACAAAUAGAACCGCAACUGGACUGGGACUGGGCCCCGCUUCCCGAAAGCAUCGUUGGUCUAAGUGGAUCGUGAAGUGCGUCGUACGAGCAUCGUACAGUUAAAAAUUCAAAUCAAAUGAUUCCAUUGCUCUUGUGUGGGAGGUCGCUUUCGAGGUUAAAAUUUCCUCAUAUUGAUCAAUGACAGAUGACAUAGGCUACUGUAGACAUGCAUCAUGCUGAGACCAGCACUGUAGGCGCUUCGGUGCAACCCGGUAUCACUCGAUUUCGUGCUCAUGCGCACAAACGUUAAUCUGUGCGCAUCGCGUCCCAGAUCACGAUUGUCCGACUUUUUUAGUGCUGCACAGAACGAAAUGUAAACCAAUGCAUUCUGAAUGGGAGCGUUCUCAGACAAUUAACGUCGUUUUUGAGAAGGUCUGCUUACAAAUCAGAAAUGUUGACAUAUAUAUAACUAGAUAAUAAUAUAUACAGAUAUAUAACUAGAGGGUGCACUGUACUAUCUGCGCUCACCCCUUCUGAAGCUUCUCUCUCUCGCUCUCUCUCUCUGUCCCUCCCUUUCUCUCUUUCUCUCUCUCGUUUCGUUUUUUGGAGCACGUCAAUUGUCGGAGAACGCUCCAAUUCAGAAUGCAUUGGUUUACAUUUCGUUCUGUGUAGCACUAAAAAAGUCGGACAAUCGUAAUCUGUCAUCAUACGUGAACUCAUUAUUGCAUGUGGCCUGGGUGUCUUCAUUCAUAAAAAAAUUAAAAAAUUCGGGAGUGCAACAAUGCAAAUUAUUCUAAAGAGGUCAGAGACUCCGUGCGCAGCCCCGCCUUCUAUGGAGGUAGAUUUGUGUCUUUAUUAUGCAAUCAAACAGAAUAGGUUUGAGAGCAAAACCUUCCACACUGCAAUCAAAAAAUAGAUUUGAGAGCAAAACUAUCGACACUGCAUCAAAAAAUGUUUUAUUGCAAGUAAAAUAAAAAAAUAUUAAUGGGAAUCCAAAAGUUUUGUUUGCAAAUCCAAAAGUUUUGUUUGCGAAUCCAAAAGUUUUGUUUGCGAAUCCAAAAGUUUUGCUUGCGAAUCCAAAAGCUUUGCUUGCGAAUCCAAAAGCUUUGCUUGCUGUUGAGCUGAAUCUCGUGGGCGGGACCAACGCCGAAAGAUGUAAGACACGUCUCUAUUGGCCAGUCUCGAUCGGAGUGACAGCUUGGCAACAUCCACAGUUAGUAACGAGAGAGGGAGUUUUGAAGACCAUGAUGAGACAGCGGGACUCGGGAGCUGAGAGGCCAGAAAAUCAAUGGGCAGGCACUGGUGUAGUCCAGGGUAUACACGGGUAUACGGCGUAUACCCACUUAUUUUUCAGUCAUCAUUGCUCAUACCCACUUCUAAAUCCCCCAAGAUGCGCACCAUUCAGUAGUAUCUGCAUUCUGCAAGCCAAAUUGCCCACUUUUUUGCGUUCACACCAAACGCGACGGGGCGACAAGAUCCCAUACAAGUGAACGUAGGGACGCGUAUCGGGCGAUUUUUUUGCGAGAGAAAACCGGCGACAAGUUUUGAUUUGUCGCGCCACACUUUCGCCGUGCACAGGUGAGCGCGUUCACGAGGAUUUGUGCAGCGACAAAUUCGCUCGAGUUGAAAUAUUUCAACUUUGACGUGAAUUUCCCGCGAUGACAGCCAAUCAGCAUUCAACAGCGUGGCCACUGAGUGACAUAUGUAACGUAACAGCCAAUCAGCGUUCAACCGUCAAACUCAGUGCAGUGCAGCCCGGGGUGAACUGCAGCAUGGAGGAGAAAGUGAUUGUUGUCGUUUGCGACUCCCGGAGCUCUAUAUAUAAUAGUAUAUAAUUCUAAAUAUAAUAUCACGGCCAAAAGCUCUGUGAGCCAUGACCCACGCUACUCUGCCUCUUAUUGGCUAAUACUCGCUGCCUUUACUGAUUCGAUUGUUGAAUAAUUUGAAUGAUGAUGUUCAAUCAUCAUAUGACAUUUAUAUAUAUAUUGAUAUUAUAUAUAUCUAACGAGAUGAUUGAUGUGGAAGAGAAUGAUGUGCGUUUUUUCUAAUCUAAGGUGAAAUAUGAAUAAGGAUGCAUUGUCAAAUUCAGAUCUGAAGUAUUUUAUUUAAAUACAUUUUCAAAAAAUUACUGAAACACCAUGUUUGCCUCAUCUAUAUUUUACAUUCUGCCUGUGUGACCAGUAAUACCUACAAACUGCUCCUUAUCAAGUCAUGUUAAUUUUAUAACAGUGGCCCACUCUGGCCCAUGCUAUGUGUUGCAAAUCAGCUGUUCAAAGACACAGUUUACAAAAUAAAUUACUGACCUGCCAAGUGAGAGAAUAGGUGUCAUUCCAGGAAUAAGGAAUAGUUCACUCCAAAUGCAUAGUUGUCUGUCACUAGUCUGUGGGCGAGUAUUGGUUUAGUGAUUUCAUAAUACUUCCUCCUUGAGAUUAAGCAGCAGAAAUUAUGUGACAAUGAGCAAAUACUACGGAAGGAUUUAUGGGUAAACUAAAUAGAGUAGUCUCACAUGAGCAAGGUACGUUUUAUUACUCUACUAUUUCUCAGUUUUCUGGGAAUAAUUGACAUAAGCAGAAACCAAAAACCAGCCGUUUUUUCGUUUCGUCAAAAAAAACGAAAAUCUAAAUUUCAGUUCGUUUAUUCGUUUUUUGGUUCUUAACAAAACGAAUUUACCACUCAAUAUCUGGUUUCCGCCGGUGGGCGGGUCCUCUUAUUGGCUAGUGUGCUUCGUUGCCCUGUGCUCUUCAAAAUAAAAGUUAUUCUGUUUGAUAAUGUCG
ensembl:lncRNA